AUUGAACGCUGGCGGCAUGCCUUACACAUGCAAGUCGAACGGUAACGGGCCUUCGGGUGCCGACGAGUGGCGAACGGGUGAGUAAUACAUCGGAACGUGCCCGAUCGUGGGGGAUAACGAGGCGAAAGCUUUGCUAAUACCGCAUACUAUCUACGGAUGAAAGCAGGGGACCGCAAGGCCUUGCGCGGACGGAGCGGCCGAUGGCAGAUUAGGUAGUUGGUGGGAUAAAAGCUUACCAAGCCGACGAUCUGUAGCUGGUCUGAGAGGAUGAUCAGCCACACUGGGACUGAGACACGGCCCAGACUCCUACGGGAGGCAGCAGUGGGGAAUUUUGGACAAUGGGCGCAAGCCUGAUCCAGCCAUGCCGCGUGCAGGAUGAAGGCCUUCGGGUUGUAAACUGCUUUUGUACGGAACGAAAAGCCUUCUUUUAAUACAGGAGGGUCAUGACGGUACCGUAAGAAUAAGCACCGGCUAACUACGUG
rnacentral:rRNA from 1 species